rnacentral:rRNA from 1 species
UGAGGAAUAUUGGUCAAUGGACGCAAGUCUGAACCAGCCAUGCCGCGUGAAGGAAUAAGGCCCUAUGGGUCGUAAACUUCUUUUGUAUGUGAGCAAUAAGGUCCACGUGUGGUCCGAUGAGAGUAGCAUACGAAUAAGCAUCGGCUAACUCCGUGCCAGCAGCCGCGGUAAUACGGAGGAUGCAAGCGUUAUCCGGAUUCAUUGGGUUUAAAGGGUGCGUAGGCGGCUUGGUAAGUCAGCGGUGAAAUUCCAGUGCUCAACAUUGGCCGUGCCGUUGAUACUGCUGGGCUUGAAUGCGUGCGAGGAAGGCGGAAUGCGUUGUGUAGCGGUGAAAUGCAUAGAUAUGACGCAGAACUCCGAUUGCG